GCGAAGGAGCGUGCUACGUUCGCUUGUGCCGCAACGCGUUCGCUUUGUUGACGUUUUAAUUCCUUUGUAUUUAAAUCUCUCUCUCUAUAUAUAUAUAUAUACUAAUAUCGUGGGUUUUUCAACCGGUUUUUUAAAGAACCGCGACGACUCCGAUUCGCGUCCACUGUUCGGCGGACGUCUCCAGUUGUUGGGCUCGCAGUGAUUCGCUCGCAUUCUCGUUGGUACAACAUUACAUGGAUACGUGUCCGAUUAUCACCCCCUACUAAUUACAUACUUCGAAUAUAUCAGUGUGCCGUCUUCCGACGUACGGAUUCAGUGCUGUGCGUGUAAUAAUGCGAUAACAUUUUCAUUGUUAUCGAUAAAAAAAAAAAAAAAAACCUCCGUGACGUCCUCCUCGUUGCGUUCAACCGCUAUCGGUGGAUGAUAGCGCUUCUUCGUAUUAAUCUAAUUAAUUUUAAUCUCCGAUCAUAAUCUUAGCACGAUACGAAUAUCUCAGGUCUCUACCUGUUCCCAGCAGAGGUCGGUGUAAUUAACUGUCAAUCGUUGUGUUCAAUAACUUUGGAUUUCGAUGACGAAUUUCCGAUACGGAUAAUCGAGCAACUGCAGUGAUAUCAUCAUGGAUGGACCGAAAACGUGAACUCGAAUACGCGAGACAUCACCUGGGAGAAGAAGAGACAGGUUUCCCAGUUGCACCUUGAGAUCACGUCUACUUUAUACUCCGGAGGUGCGGUAUUGACGGAUAGGGGGUGAAAAUCCGAUAGGAUAUUUCUAUUUUUAUUUUUUUUUUCACUAGCGGAGAAGGAAACUGACGUGAUUCAUUGCACGGCAGUCGACUGAAAACGGAGAGAUAUUCUCACAUUGCAGGU
rnacentral:lncRNA from 1 species